GACGAGUGGCGGACGGGUGAGUAAUGUCUGGGAAACUGCCCGAUGGAGGGGGAUAACUACUGGAAACGGUAGCUAAUACCGCAUAACGUCGCAAGACCAAAGUGGGGGACCUUCGGGCCUCACACCAUCGGAUGUGCCCAGAUGGGAUUAGCUAGUAGGUGGGGUAAUGGCUCACCUAGGCGACGAUCCCUAGCUGGUCUGAGAGGAUGACCAGCCACACUGGAACUGAGACACGGUCCAGACUCCUACGGGAGGCAGCAGUGGGGAAUAUUGCACAAUGGGCGCAAGCCUGAUGCAGCCAUGCCGCGUGUAUGAAGAAGGCCUUCGGGUUGUAAAGUACUUUCAGCGAGGAGGAAGGCAUUGUGGUUAAUAACCGCAGUGAUUGACGUUACUCGCAGAAGAAGCACCGGCUAACUCCGUGCCAGCAGCCGCGGUAAUACGGAGGGUGCAAGCGUUAAUCGGAAUUACUGGGCGUAAAGCGCACGCAGGCGGUCUGUCAAGUCGGAUGUGAAAUCCCCGGGCUCAACCUGGGAACUGCAUUCGAAACUGGCAGGCUAGAGUCUUGUAGAGGGGGGUAGAAUUCCAGGUGUAGCGGUGAAAUGCGUAGAGAUCUGGAGGAAUACCGGUGGCGAAGGCGGCCCCCUGGACAAAGACUGACGCUCAGGUGCGAAA
rnacentral:rRNA from 1 species